rnacentral:rRNA from 1 species
GACGAACGCUGGCGGCGUGCUUAACACAUGCAAGUCGAACGGAAAGGCCCUGCUUUUGUGGGGUGCUCGAGUGGCGAACGGGUGAGUAACACGUGAGUAACCUGCCCUUGACUUUGGGAUAACUUCAGGAAACUGGGGCUAAUACCGGAUAGGAGCUCCUGCUGCAUGGUGGGGGUUGGAAAGUUUCGGCGGUUGGGGAUGGACUCGCGGCUUAUCAGCUUGUUGGUGGGGUAGUGGCUUACCAAGGCUUUGACGGGUAGCCGGCCUGAGAGGGUGACCGGCCACAUUGGGACUGAGAUACGGCGCAGACUCCUACGGGAGGCAGCAGUGGGGAAUAUUGCACAAUGGGCGGAAGCCGGAUGCAGCAACGCCGCGUGCGGGAUGACGGCCUUCGGGUUGUAAACCGCUUUCGCCUGUGACGAAGCGUGAGUGACGGUAAUGGGUAAAGAAGCACCGGCUAACUACGUG